GUCCCUGCAGCGCAAUGGAUAGCGCAUUGGACUUCUAAUCUAACGGUUGUGGGAUCGAAACCCCCCUGGGAUG